CGCCGCACCGCGCAUCACCGUUCCACUCACACAUACACACACACGCACAAGCACGCACGUCCGGACGUAACAGACACACUACACUGCAAUCGGGACACACACCACACACUGAAAUCGCGAUUUCGCCCUCCCCGAGCCGCGCUAUCAGCUGGGGAGGUCCUCCCGCCGCCGGCCUCUCCCCCGAUGGCGGUCUGCUUGCAAGCCCCUAGGCAAACCUGCGCGCAAAAACAUCUUUUUGCGACUUAUCAGUGCCAACCUUAAGAAAAUAAAUUAAUACAUACCGCUUUCAUCCGCUAGUCGACGGGCCGUGGUAUGCUCCCCGCAGUGUACAGCCGAGGCGCAGAGUCCCUCCGGGGAAAAGCCCCGUGGCGCCUGAGGGUGUCUGCUCCCAACCGGACCUGCGGGUGAGCAGAGCAGUCCCUUCGUGGUCGCCAACUGAAACGAUACGCGGAAUAAAUCAAUAGACUCCAUAACCUGGGGUAGUUAUGAAGUGGGUAUGUACGUCAGCGCCUGGCACAAGUGAGAUAGCCCUCCAAAACUUGUGCCCCGAGCCUCAGUCUGACCCACACUUUUAUUCUUAAAGACGUUCCAUAUGCAAUACACUGCACGACUUUUUCAUGCGUAUUCAACCCCUGGCCCCGCCUGUCCUCGCUUCUCAUGCUAAGUAAGUCCACGCCCUUCUGGGCAUGCGUGGUUUGCUGUGGUGGUCGUACGGGGGUCUCUUGGUGGUCCUGAGGCUGAAGAUUAUGGUCUUCCUCAUGAUUGAACUUUUGAACUUUUCCUCUCUGCGCGUGCGCUUUUGGUCCUUUGGUGCUUAUCUGAGUACGUCUGUCAGUCUUGAUAGGCUUGGAGACAGAGGAGCUUCUUUACCUGGGUUCUUUGCUUCUUCUGGUAUUGUUCUUUAUGCAAGAAGCUUCCGAAAUUUGCAUUUUCCUUUGCCCUGUGUAUUAGGCAGAGGUUUCUUAAGUAAAAGGUUGAAAAUUCAACAGAUAACUCUACAAGCUAAAUUAUAAAUGCUUAAUUCAUUUUGUUAACCUAACUCUAAAAAUCUCUGUUUCACCUCGAGAGCUGUCACAGAGCAGAAGAGCAGCUGAGAUGCUGAAAAGCAGCAAAGCUGAACAGCCUGCCUCAGCUUCAGCAGUGUGCAAUUGACUGAAGGCAAAACACGAAGCAGCAGAGCAGCGGGCUUCUCUGCCACCGUGUUCUCUGCAUCUCGGAGCCUCUGGGGAGCAACAAGAAUUUCCAAGGUGGUGUAAGAGCCCGUCUGAAGCCCCUCAUUUUCCGUUCUGCCUUCCAAUUGCCACGAGAAAGAAUCCCUUCCUCCACUGCAGUUCCGGCUUAGAACAGGACACAGUGCAGGUGCAACCACUGAACCGUCAUGCUAGCUGUUCCGAACAAGGCCUGGCAAGAACUUGGCAAGGACUUGGCAAGGACUUGGCAAAGACCUGACGUGGACCCAGCACGGGACAGCCUGAUGCGCGGCCUGCUUCUAAUCUCCGUUCUUAAGCCAAAUGAACUUUUGGGGUGACUCCCGGGGUCCUUCAUUGAAGACCCCUCAUCUGCCUCAUUACCAGUGUGACAAACAAAGAAUGAGAACCCUCCUCCCAAGGACUGAGACUGAGACCCCUGCUAUAGGGAGGAGGGGAAAUUGGUGGUCUGACCACUAAUGACAUGACCUGUUUCCCUUCAGUGAUUCAAAUGGACUUAUUCUUCAUUGGAUUCGUCUUGCUUUGGUGGUUUCUGUGGACUCUCCUCUUCCCGCGUGGCGAUUACAAUGGACUUUCGUUGUUACCCUCGCUCCUCCCUCUUUCCUCUGUGGACUAUAACUGGAGCCCUGAGUCGACCAGAACUUCGGAGACUCCCCCGACACGACAGACAGAACCCCAUCGUCCGGACCACUGAGGAUCUCGCCUGUGUUGGUAGCUAUUCCCAUACCCCUCUUCUCUCUCUCUCUCUCCUUUUAUCUCCUUUCCGAUCCCCACUAUCGCAUUUACUGUUUUGGCCCUAAUAAAGGUGCAUUUGUUGUGAUUAA